AUCCAGCUGACGAGUCCCAAAAUAGAACGAGACGCAUGUCCUGUAU
rnacentral:hammerhead_ribozyme from 1 species